UACGAAGGGGGCUAGCGUUGCUCGGAAUUACUGGGCGUAAAGGGUGCGUAGGUGGACAGUUUAGUCAGAGGUGAAAGCCCAGGGCUCAACCUUGGAAUUGCCUUUGAUACUGGCUGUCUUGAGUGUGGGAGAGGUGAGUGGAACUCCGGGUGUAGAGGUGAAAUUCGUAGAUAUUCGGAAGAACACCAGUGGCGAAGGCGACUCACUGGCCCAUUACUGACACUGAGGCUCGAAAGCGUGGGGAGCAAACAGG
rnacentral:rRNA from 1 species